UUGCUCAGCACUGACUGGAUGGGGUUAACAGUGACCACUAAUGAAGGAGCUCUGCUACCUGUCUGAGCAGUGCUCCAGUCUUUGUUGCUGCGUUAUGAAUGCACUGCUCCUCCUGCCACAUUUCUUCACGCCCUCGGUUGUUAUCUGAGCAGUGGUAGCCCCCACGAGCGAUGCAGUCAGUGCCUGCUUGCUCCAGGUGCUCCAUAAGCACAGCAGAAGGAUGCCAGGGGGCUUGCAGGCAGUGUGUGCAUGCUGUUGCUCUCUCCAAGAAGCCCCUGUUUUGGCUAGCUGCAGAAGAAACCAUUUUUUCCUUGGUCAGAUCCUUGCAAACGCAGUGCAAGUGUACAGAACGGUACGGUGUCUAGCUGUCUUUUCGCAGUACGUGCAAUGAGGUUAUCUAUUUUUCAGGCAGAGAAGUGCGUCCAGGCAGUUUGGAGAACUGCUGGCUCAGGCUUCACCUCCACUAAUCCAAGUUCAGUCACUUUCCUCUGAAGAACCUGCAUCAAGCCGUGGUUUUAAGCUGCAGAUGGAGUUCUUCUCGCAGGACUGAAGUGCUGAAGCUCUCUGAGCUCCGAAGGCACCCUGAACUCAUGAGGCUUUUUCUUGGUUGGCAACGUGCUUAAAAAAGAAAGAAAUGCAAAUGGGCAUUUCCACGUGACUGUAUUCUGCUCAGUGCAGUGUCUGCCUGUGUUGCAGACUGAGCUCCGUGGCAUUGCAAAGAAUGCACCAAAGGUUCCCGUAUUUCUAGCGGUUGUCAGGGCGGUGGCUCAUGACAUCGUAAGGCCGUGGCGAUGUGACGGUAAGAAUGUCCCAUGUCAAGUACAAGAUGGCUGUGUGGGACGAGGGGAAGCCAUGGCCUGACAGCUGCCCUUCUGGUCAGCAGUGGAAUUCUGCGGGGUCCAUUAGAAGGCCAUUUCUCUGUAAUGCUUUCUCUGUUGGUUCCAGUCAAGAUGUGGCCGUUGUAUGAAGUAAGUUUGUGGUUGCUGUGAAGCUGGGAGGAAUGUUGACUGCCUUGGGGGUUGAGAGGCCUUGCAGCAAGAUGUGGAGAAAUGUGAGGGUGGUCCCCAUCUGCACGAAGAAGAGCAAGCGCUGCGUUCUGCACCUGGGAUGCGGCAGCCCUGGCUGUACGUACAGCGUGGGGGGGGCGAGGGGCUGGAGAUCAGCCCUGCCAAAAGGGAGGGAUCUGGGCGUUGUGGUUGCUGACAACUUGAAUCUGAGCUGGCAGUGUGCCCUGGGCACAGGGUUUGAGUUUGGGUGGUCCUUUGGGGAGCCAGGGGUUGGACUUGAUGGUCCCUGUGUCCUUUAAGAAGGCCGAAUAGUCUUUCAGUGAUUGUUCUGGGCAGCUCACACCACUGGGUGUACAAUUCAUUUCACUUGGAAUUUCAGGGUCAGACAUAAAUGUUAUUAUCUGCUUUAGAGAAAGAAGUGGGAGGCUGAACUGAUAUUUGGAAAAAUGAAAAAUGUUUAAAAUGUUUUUUGCAAGAUAAGCCCUCAGCAAACAGUCGUCCUGUUCCACUUUUGGCCAGUCUCAGAUGCUUGUCUUCCAGAAUGUCUGCGUGUGGAUGAAUCACAACAGGAUCCUGGGAACUUUUAAGAAAGGUAGGAAGGAGGAACCGGGGAACUACAGGCUGGUGAGCCUCACCUCUGUGCCUGGGAAGAUCAUGGAGCAGAUCCUCCUAGGAGCUAUGUUAAGGCACACAUGAGACAAAGAGAUCCGAGACAGCCAGCAUGGCUUCACCAAGAGCAGAUUGUGCCUGACCAAUCUGGUGGCCUUCUGUAGUGGAGUGAUGGCUUUGGUCGACGGGGGAAGGGUGGUGGAUAUCAUCUACCUGGACUUCUACAGAGCCUUUGACAUGGUCCCUCAGCACAUCCUUCUCUCUAAAUUAAAGAGGUAUAGAUUGGAAGGAUGGACUGUUCAGUGGAGUAGGAUUUGGCUGGCUGGACACAGCCAAAGGGUUGUGACGAAUGGUUUUGUGCCAGGGUGGAGGCUGAUCACAAGCAGUGUCCCUCAGGGGUUGGUCUUGGGACCUGUGCUCCUCAGCAUCUUCAUCAGUGACACAGACAAUGGCAUCGAGUGCACCCUCAGCAAGUUUGCAGAUGAUACAAACUGGGCAGUGCAGUCGAUAGUCUGGAAGGAAGGGAAGCCAUCCAGAGGGACCUGGACAGGCUGGAGAGGCUGUGGGUGUCCCAUCCCUGGAGGCAUUCAAGGCCAAGCUACCCAUGUUUGCCUUCUGUAGUUAUCAGUGGGGCAAGAGGAAAAUGAAGAGUACAAUGAAGUACAGAGUGCUUUUCUUGUCUUGUUCAACUGCAAGUUCCUGUUUUCUCAAAGGCAAAAACAAUUAAGGCUCAGCAAAAACAAUUAAGGCUCAGCAAAAACAGUUAAGGCAGUCAUUGUAAGUAUUAAUUUCUGAUGAUGGUGGCUGCCUGUGUUCGGAGGUCACACUUAGUUGAAGCACACUGCGCCUGUGGAAAUUCUGCUGAGCAAUUAGCAAAAAUACCCUUGUCAUUAGGAAGAAACAAGAACACUGUUGUCCAUAAAGUAAUCAGUGGCGUUUAAGCAAGUGACACCUCUUUGUUUUACAGGAGAAAAAAACGACAGGUGAGCCUAACAUAUUAAUUAACUGAGAACAAAACGUUAGGAAGGACAAGACUGUGCUUGAGUUUUCCCAGUAAUGAGUGCCUGAAUUCCAGAGUGGGUUUCUGAAUCUUUGUUUCAUCCUACGGGUCCUAUGAAGGACUGUGCCAUCAUUGUAAUCUGCAUCAGAAAUGCCUCCUUUCUCAGUGCAAAUCCUGCCAUUGGAUUAAGGGCAAAAAUAAUGUGCAGAGUAGGACUUCUAUAGUACUCCAUAUUAUAGAACUCUAAAGACAGACUAUAAUACUCUAUAUUACAGGGACUCUAAAAACAGACUGCUUCAACACACUUGGAAUCAGCACACCUUUGAAUCUGAUGCAAAGAGAUGCAUGUUUGGUUGUUUUGUUUUGUUUGUUUUUUUAAAUCUCUUUGAACAGCCAGAUCAAGUAGCUGAGCAGCCUCGUUCCAGCUUUUCUGUAAAACUUGAGUCAUGAGGAGUGCUUUCUCUAACAGUGGUAGUGUUGGGACACACGCUUCUCUUUUUGCCACAGACUGAGCAUUGUUCUCUCUCCUUCUUCAUAUC